rnacentral:rRNA from 1 species
UUAAGUUGGGCACUCUAAGUUGACUGCCGGUGACAAACCGGAGGAAGGUGGGGAUGACGUCAAAUCAUCAUGCCCCUUAUGAUUUGGGCUACACACGUGCUACAAUGGACAAUACAAAGGGCAGCGAAACCGCGAGGUCAAGCAAAUCCCAUAAAGUUGUUCUCAGUUCGGAUUGUAGUCUGCAACUCGACUAUAUGAAGCUGGAAUCGCUAGUAAUCGUA